GAUGAACGCUGGCGGCGUGCCUAAUACAUGCAAGUCGAGCGAACAGAUGAGGAGCUUGCUCCUCUGACGUUAGCGGCGGACGGGUGAGUAACACGUGGAUAACCUACCUAUAAGACUGGGAUAACUUCGGGAAACCGGAGCUAAUACCGGAUAAUAUAUUGAACCGCAUGGUUCAAUAGUGAAAGACGGUUUUGCUGUCACUUAUAGAUGGAUCCGCGCCGCAUUAGCUAGUUGGUAAGGUAACGGCUUACCAAGGCAACGAUGCGUAGCCGACGUGAGAGGGUGAUCGGCCACACUGGAACUGAGACAGGGACAAGACUCCUACGGGAGGCAGCAGUAGGGAAUCUUCCGCAAUGGGCGAAAGCCUGACGGAGCAACGCCGCGUGAGUGAUGAAGGUCUUCGGAUCGUAAAGCUCUGUUAUUAGGGAAGAACAAAUGUGUAAGUAACUAUGCACGUCUUGACGGUACCUAAUCAGAAAGCCACGGCUAACUACGUG
rnacentral:rRNA from 1 species